rfam:Pseudonocardia sp. HH130629-09, complete genome.
GGCUUUCUUCGCGGCGGAGCUCGACCGCCCCAGCAGGUAGUCCUCGACUAUAUCGAGGAGAACAAGACACAGUUCGGGGUCGAGCCGAUCUGCGCGGUGUUGAAGGACGCCGGUGUUCCGAUCGCCCCG